rnacentral:rRNA from 1 species
GACGAACGCUGGCGGCGUGCUUAUCACAUGCAAGUCGAACGGAAAGGCCCUGCUUUUGUGGUGUUCUCGAGUGGCGAACGGGUGAGUAACACGUGAGUAACCUGCCCUUGACUUUGGGAUAACUUCAGGAAACUGGGGCUAAUACCGGAUAGGAGCUCCUGCUGCAUGGUGGGGGUUGGAACGUUUCGGCUGUUGGGGAUGGACUCGCGGCUUAUCAGCUUGUUGGUGGGGUAGUGGCUUACCAAGGCUUUGACGGGUAGCCGGCAUGAGAGGGUGGCCGGGGACAAGGGGACUGAGGUACGGAGCAGAGUGGAAUGGGAGGCAGCAGGGGGGAGUAUUACACAGUGGGACGAAGUCUGAGGAGACAGCGCCGCGUGCGGGAUGACGGCCUUCGGGGUGUAAACCGCUUUCGCCUGAGACGAAGCGGGAGUGACGGUAAUGGAUAAAGAAGCACCGGCUAACUACGUG